GCGGGCGUAGCUCAGGGGUAGAGCGAAACGUUGCCAACGUUUAGGUCGUCAGUUCGAAUCUGAUCGCCCGCUCCA
rnacentral:tRNA from 1 species